CCAGCCACUCUCUCAGUUCACAACCAACACCAGCCAGCCACUCUCUCGGUUCACAACCAACACCAGCCAGCCACUCUCUCAGUUCACAACCAACACCAGCCAGCCACUCUCUCGGUUCACAACCAACACCAGCCAGCCACUCUCUAGGUUCACAACCAACACCAGCCAGCCACUCUCUAGGUUCACAACCAACACCAGCCACUCUCUAGGUUCACAACCAACACCAGCCACUCUCUAGGUUCACAACCAACACCAGCCACUCUCUAGGUUCACAACCAACACCAGCCACUCUCUAGGUUCACAACCAACACCAGCCACUCUCUCAGUUCACAACCAACACCAGCCACUCUCUAGGUUCAUAACCAACACCAGCCACUCUCUAGGGUCAUAACCAACACCAGCCACUCUCUCAGUUCACAACCAACACCAGCCACUCUCUAGGUUCAUAACCAACACCAGCCACUCUCUAGGUUCACAACCAACACCAGCCACUCUCUCAGUUCACAACCAACACCAGCCACUCUCUAGGUUCAUAACCAACACCAGCCACUCUCUAGGGUCACAACCAACACCAGCCACUCUCUAGGGUCAUAACCAACACCAGCCACUCUCUAGGGUCAUAACCAACACCAGCCACUCUCUAGGGUCACAACCAACACCAGCCACUCUCUAGGUUCACAACCAACACCAGCCACUCUCUAGGUUCACAACCAACACCAGCCACUCUCUAGGUUCACAACCAACACCAGCCACUCUCUCAGCUCACAACCAACACCAGCCACUC